UAGGGAAUAUUUGACAAUGGGGGAAACCCUGAUCGAGCGAUGCCGCGUGAGUGAUGAAGGCCUUCGGGUUGUAAAGCUCUUUAGCCGAUGAAGAUAAUGACGGUAAUCGGAGAAUAAGCACCGGCUAACUUCGUGCCAGCAGCCGCGGUAAUACGAAGGGUGCUAGCGUUGUUCGGAUUUACUGGGCGUAAAGAGUGCGUAGGCGGUAUUGUAAGUUAGACGUGAAAGCCCAGGGCUUAACCUUGGAAUAGCGUUUAAAACUGCAAGACUAGAGUAUGGGAGAGGAUAGUGGAAUUCCGAGUGUAGAGGUGGAAUUCGUAGAUAUUCGGAGGAACACCAGAGGCUAAGGCGACUAUCUGGACCAUUACUGACGCUGAGGUACGAAAGCGUGGGGAUCAAA
rnacentral:rRNA from 1 species